rfam:Aurantimonas manganoxydans SI85-9A1 scf_1099451004081 genomic scaffold, whole genome shotgun sequence.
GGCGUAUUUUGCCCAGGCGGAGCUCGACCGCCGGUUCAAGCCAUGACAGCGUUCAUCGACAAUCAUCGUGACGUCUAUGGGGUCGAGCCGAUCUGCCGGGUUCUGCCGAUCGCCCCG